GGCAAGGGGGUCAUCCCGACUUACCAACCCGAUGCAAACUGCGAAUACCGGAGAAUGUUAUCACGGGAGACACACGGCGGGUGCUAACGUCCGUCGUGAAGAGGGAAACAACCCAGACCGCCAGCUAAGGUCCCAAAGUCAUGGUUAAGUGGGAAACGAUGUGGGAAGGCCCAGACAGCCAGGAUGUUGGCUUAGAAGCAGCCAUCAUUUAAAGAAAGCGUAAUAGCUCACUGGUCGAGUCGGCCUGCGCGGAAGAUGUAACGGGGCUAAACCAUGCACCGAAGCUGCGGCAGCGACACUAUGUGUUGUUGGGUAGGGGAGCG
rnacentral:rRNA from 1 species